CUCCUGUACUUGAUUUUUAAUUUCACUUAAAAUAUUCUGCCCCUCACCUUCCAGCUCUUGUUGAAGCUCUGUAAUCAUCGUAGUGACUUGUCUUUUUAGAUCAUCAGCUUUUUUGUGGGUGUCAUUCCUUCUGGUCUCUGCUUCACGAAAAUGGUUUUCAAAUUCUUUGCACUGCACGUUCAGAUUGUCCACAAGUUCUUCUAGUGAUGACUUCACAGCCACAGACUUGUCACUUAUUAAUUCCACAUUGUGUCCUAUGUGAUCGCCAAGUACAACACAGAACUCACAGACAUAAACGUUAUCCACGCAGCAGUUAUAUUUUAGGAGUUUUUGAUGAGUAGCACACUUUCUUGUCUGCAUGUCAGUGGUCAGUUCAGUUAGGGUGUGCUGUCCUACCGAAUUAUGGGCCUCGAGGUGAUCACGGCAAAGAUAGGCUUCACAAUCUAGACACAGUUUGCUACCUACUGCCGUACAGUAGAGACAUCUGUGACUUUUCCGCUUUAAUUGCGAGGAGUCCCCAAGGUUUUCAGUAGCCAUGAUCUUGUUAUUUGAAUACCCUGUGCAACAACGUAUCAACCUUCAAUACACAGCUCCUUGAUUCCCCUGUCCACAAGUUAAUGCCGAAAAACUAGCAGAAAUACUUUUACAGAUGAAGUAACACCUAUCAGAUCGCCACCCUUCCACUGGGAUAGUGAGAGGCAAGAACUGCAAAACACGCAGAGCUACGGCAACAGGUGUACUAGGGAGUGAA